UUCCACGUCAUUGGGGAGUAGCCUGUUCUGGUUUCAUAUAUAAGACCAGAAAGUCCGUAUCAACAUACUCGUUUGGUUUCAAACGUGGUGCGGACACCAAAAUUCGGUUGGCAAGACCAUAGACACAUAAAUAAGCCUUUUGGU
rfam:Providencia rettgeri DSM 1131 genomic scaffold Scfld0, whole genome shotgun sequence.